UGAGGAAUAUUGGUCAAUGGACGGAAGUCUGAACCAGCCAUGCCGCGUGCAGGAAUAAGGUCCUAUGGAUUGUAAACUGCUUUUAUUUGGGAAUAAACCUCCUUACGUGUAGGGAGCUGAAGGUACCAAAGGAAUAAGCACCGGCUAACUCCGUGCCAGCAGCCGCGGUAAUACGGAGGGUGCAAGCGUUAUCCGGAAUCAUUGGGUUUAAAGGGUCCGCAGGCGGGCUAAUAAGUCAGAGGUGAAAUCCCACAGCUUAACUGUGGAACUGCCUUUGAAACUGUUAGUCUUGAAUUAAGAUGGCGUUGGCGGAAUAGGUCAUGUAGCGGUGAAAUGCAUAGAUAUGAACUAGAACACCAAUUGCGAAGGCAGGUUACCAUGUCUUAACUGACGCUGAUGGACGAAAGCGUGGGGAGCGAACA
rnacentral:rRNA from 1 species